rnacentral:rRNA from 1 species
UUAAACUGAAGAGUUUGAUCCUGGCUCAGAUUGAACGCUGGCGGCAUGCCUUACACAUGCAAGUCGAACGGCAGCACGGGUGCUUGCACCUGGUGGCGAGUGGCGAACGGGUGAGUAAUACAUCGGAACAUGUCCUG